GCCUGGCUGGCUCCGUUGGGAGAGCAUGUGACUCUUGAUCUCAGGGUCAUGAGUUCAAGUCUCAUGUUAGGCA